ACAGUCAUAACAUAUUGAAAAACCGGUCCCCGUAGUAUCACCAAAGUUAAGCAACCUCAAGCCUGGUCAGUACCUAGAUCGGUGACCGCUUGGGAAUAUCAGAUACUGUAAG